GUUUCUGUAGUGUAGUGGUUAGCACGUUUACUUUACGUGCAAAAGUUUCCCUGGUUCAAAGCCAGACAGAAACA